rnacentral:rRNA from 1 species
AACUAACGCUGGCGGCGUGCCUAACACAUGCAAGUCGUACGAGAAAGUUGGCUUCGGCCGAUGAGUAAAGUGGCGCACGGGUGAGUAAUGCGUGGAUAAUCUGCCCUUUAGUUGGGAAUAACGUACCGAAAGGUGCGCUAAUACCUGAUAAUACUGCAUAACUACUGUUGUGUAGUCAAAGAAGGCCUCUGUUUACAAGCUUUUGCUGAAGGAUGAGUCCGCGUACCAUUAGCUGGUUGGUGGGGUAAUGGCCUACCAAGGCUACGAUGGUUAGCUGGUCUGAGAGGAUGAUCAGCCACACUGGAACUGAGACACGGUCCAGACUCCUACGGGAGGCAGCAGUGAGGAAUAUUGCGCAAUGGGGGCAACCCUGACGCAGCAACGCCGCGUGAGUGAGGAAGGUUUUCGGACCGUAAAGCUCUGUCGAGCGGGAAGAAAUGUAUCGUGGCUAAUAUCCAUGAUAUUUGACGGUACCGCUAAAGGAAGCACCGG